UUCUUCCGCCUUAUCAAUUCUCUGAAUUUCAUCCAUAAGAUGAUUCUUAAGUCCUCUCACACUGUAAAAUUCUUUUACGCACCACUCCUUGAUCCUGAUAUGACAGUGUUUGAGUUUUGCUGUGUAGCAUACCGGAUUUUAAAAUAAGAAUAAAAAUAAAUAAAAAUAGUUUGAGAUACUAUUUUUAUUGGACUUAUAGAAGUAAAAUAUAAGUCGGGAACGGCUCGUGUGGAAAUCGGAACGAGAACAUAAGAUUUUGAAUUUUCUGUGUGAAUCGAGGCUGUUAUUUUAGCAGAAAAUGCACAGUGUCAGAAAAUUCUGAAAAUCUGAAAAUUUAUUAGAAUUAUUUUUUAUGAGGCUAAAUUUAAAGUUUCAUGUCAUUCUGACACCCGGAAGGUGAAAAAUAAAAUCUGACAGUUAUCUGAUAAAUAUUACAGUUCGGUACAGCUUUCGGUGACCAAACGGGGUCGAAGCUGAAAGAUUAAAAUUUCUUUCGUUAAGUUAAGCAAAACCAAAUAUGACUUUCAAAUUUGAGCUCAAACAAAUAUUCAGAGGGCUCCGGAGAAAGAUAUCAGAUUUCGUACUGCCUGAAGUGAAUAGUGUAUGCUACUAUUGGGGUGUUGACUAUAAGUAGAAACUUCUAGUCUUCUUCUUUUUCACAGCCACCACC
rnacentral:lncRNA from 1 species